ACGGAAGGUCCAGGCGUUAUCCGGAUUUAUUGGGUUUAAAGGGAGCGCAGGCGGACUCUUAAGUCAGUUGUGAAAUACGGCGGCUCAACCGUCGGACUGCAGUUGAUACUGGGAGUCUUGAGUGCACACAGGGAUGCUGGAAUUCAUGGUGUAGCGGUGAAAUGCUCAGAUAUCAUGAAGAACUCCGAUCGCGAAGGCAGGUAUCCGGGGUGCAACUGACGCUGAGGCUCGAAAGUGCGGGUAUCAAACAGGAUUAGAUACCCUGGUAGUCCGCACAGUAAACGAUGAAUACUCGCGGUUGGCGAUAUACUGUCAGCCGCCAAGCGAAAGCGUUAAGUAUUCCACCUGGGGAGUACGCCGGCAACGGUG
rnacentral:rRNA from 1 species